AUUGAACGCUGGCGGCAUGCUUUACACAUGCAAGUCGAACGGCAGCGCGGGCUUCGGCCUGGCGGCGAGUGGCGAACGGGUGAGUAAUGCAUCGGAACGUGCCCAGUAGUGGGGGAUAGCCCGGCGAAAGCCGGAUUAAUACCGCAUACGACCUGAGGGUGAAAGCGGGGGACCGAAAGGCCUCGCGCUAUUGGAGCGGCCGAUGUCGGAUUAGCUAGUUGGUGGGGUAAAGGCUUACCAAGGCGACGAUCCGUAGCUGGUCUGAGAGGCCGACCAGCCACACUGGGACUGAGACACGGCCCAGACUCCUACGGGAGGCAGCAGUGGGGAAUUUUGGACAAUGGGGGCAACCCUGAUCCAGCCAUGCCGCGUGCGGGAAGAAGGCCUUCGGGUUGUAAACCGCUUUUGUUCGGGAAGAAAUCCUCUGGGCUAAUACCCCGGGGGGAUGACGGUACCGGAAGAAUAAGCACCGGCUAACUACGUG
rnacentral:rRNA from 1 species